rnacentral:rRNA from 1 species
AACGAACGCUGGCGGCAGGCCUAACACAUGCAAGUCGAGCGAGCAUUUCGGUGCUAGCGGCGGACGGGUGAGUAACGCGUGGGAACGUGCCCUUUUCUGCGGAAUAGUCCUGGGAAACUGGGGGUAAUACCGCAUACGCCCUUUUGGGGAAAGAUUUAUCGGAGAAGGAUCGCCCGCGUUGGAUUAGGUAGUUGGUGGGGUAAUGGCCCACCAAGCCGACGAUCCAUAGCUGGUUUGAGAGGAUGAUCAGCCACACUGGGACUGAGACACGGCCCAGACUCCUACGGGAGGCAGCAGUGGGGAAUCUUAGACAAGGGGGGCAACCCUGAUCUAGCCAUGCCGCGUGAGUGAUGAAGGCCUUAGGGUUGUAAAGCUCUUUCAGCUGGGAAGAUAAUGACGGUACCAGCAGAAGAAGCCCCGGCUAACUCCGUG